GGCCUAAAAAACAGAGAUUUUGUAACUGAAAGAUAAGGUCAACCCAGCUUUCUUCACCUACAGUUCAGAAGGCUCACAUCUGAGAUCAACAGUCUGAGUUCUAGCUUUAACAUGAAAGUUGUGCAGCCUGUGACUAGUGCUCCACCAGAGAGGACUCCAGGACCUUUUCUUCUCCGAGCAGGUUUCACCUGAAGAGCUCUUCAGUCAUAAGAGCUCGAUGAGCCCCGCCAGACAGCUGCACUUCGGCUCUCACUCCUGACUGCUGUCCUCAGGGCCACGCACUCCUUUCGGAACAAAAUAAGACGCCCUGACGCAAGAAGCCUGGAGAGCUGGGCUGGCUCAGAACUGCUGGUUGCCAGAGCAGCUGCCAACCUGUGCACUGGGAAGAGACCCUGUUCUGUCCAACUACUAGGGAGAGAGCAAUUGUGAUGCCAUUUGAGGAAGGUCUUUGCUCAUACACAUGUCCCAGGACCUCUGCGAUUCUGGCCACCACAAACUCACCUGCAUUUACAACAGGCUGCUCCUGCAAGGCAAAGGCUGAGGCCUUCACAAACGCCGACAUGAAGCCUAGUUUGAGGUUAUGUUUCUUCAGAAAAGCUUCCUUGUGCCGAGCCCUCAUCUCCUGAAUGUUACUGCAAAAACACAUUAUAAAACAAACUGAUCAC